UAGUCCACGCCGUAAACGAUGGAUACUAGCUGUCCGGCUUCGGCUGGGUGGCUAAGCGAAAGUGAUAAGUAUCCCACCUGGGGAGUACGUUCGCAAGAAUGAAACUCAAAGGAAUUGACGGGGGCCCGCACAAGCGGUGGAGCAUGUGGUUUAAUUCGAUGAUACGCGAGGAACCUUACCAGGGCUUAAAUGUAGUAUGACAGGUUUAGAGAUAGACUUUUCUUCGGACAUAUUACAAGGUGCUGCAUGGUUGUCGUCAGCUCGUGCCGUGAGGUGUCAGGUUAAGUCCUAUAACGAGCGCAACCCCUGUUGUUAGUUGCCAGCGAGUAAUGUCGGGAACUCUAGCAAGACUGCCGGUGCAAACCGUGAGGAAGGUGGGGAUGACGUCAAAUCAUCACGGCCCUUACGUCCUGGGCUACACACGUGCUACAAUGGCCGGUACAGAGAGCAGCCACGUCGCAAGGCGGAGCGAAUCUAUAAAGCCGGUCACAGUUCGGAUCGGGGUCUGCAA
rnacentral:rRNA from 1 species